CAGUCGCCGCGGUAAUACGGAGGGGGCUAGCGUUGUUCGGAAUUACUGGGCGUAAAGCGCACGUAGGCGGCUUUGUAAGUCAGAGGUGAAAGCCCGGGGCUCAACCCCGGAAUUGCCUUUGAUACUGGGUGUCUAGAGUAUGGAAGAGGUGAGUGGAAUUCCGAGUGUAGAGGUGAAAUUCGUAGAUAUUCGGAGGAACACCAGUGGCGAAGGCGGCUCACUGGUCCAUUACUGACGCUGAGGUGCGAAAGCGUGGGGAGCAAACAGGAUUAGAUACCCGCGUAGUCCCUGUCUCUUAUAC
rnacentral:rRNA from 1 species